rnacentral:lncRNA from 1 species
CUUUCGCCCAGUUUCUUACCUUUUCAACCAAGAAUCGUCACUGUGGGAAACAGAGUGCUGAUAACUAUAGUUCCUUUGAUGAUAAACUACGGUCGGGAUCGGUUGCAGCCCCCCACCAGACGAGGAAGAAAAAAGGCAGACACGGUAGGCCGAGCGUGACUGCGAGUUCUGCAAGUUGUUGCUGAUGUGUUCGUGCCAACAAGCGAAUGAUGCGAGAAAACAAGACGAAAUAAUUCUAUGGCAGGUUCAAUUGAAUUGAAACGAGUUUCAAAAACACUGGUGUCGAAUUAAAGUUUGCAGGAAACGAUCACCACAACUGCACGAUCGGCAAACAACGAACAAAUAAAUUAGGCGGCAACAGCAGCGGAUCCACGUGACUAACUCGCACCAACGUCUGGUACCGACUGAGUUCCUUCGACUGCUUCACUCGCCCUCUUAACAGCAGUCGACUAGUACAGACACGUUGAUCCAACCCAACUGCAGCUUUGGUCCUUGUAAACUGAAUAUCAAAUUUUAAAAAAAGGAUCAUUUGGAGGAAAAUAUUUAAAUUUCAGUGCACGUACAUUUUGUAACCCCAUCCCUGAUUUUGCAAAAAGGAAUUUUAUGAAUCUCAAGGCCACUGUUUGUUCACCUAGCAAUACUUAUCUGAGCUUAUCGCAAAGGGCGCCAUGAAGAUAAAGAAAAAUGGCGGCAAUUGGUGCAAAGUGUGUCCUCAUUUUGAUGAUCUAAUACUUAAUCGUAUUAUCGGUUUCUUGGAUUUUAGAUAUUUUAAUUUCGAUAAGAAGUUUUUCAUUUCGUUUUCUUUCAGUUCGUGGCAGCCUAAAGGGAUGACGUUACGUUUUAUCCCAGAAAAACAAACAAAAGACGACCGAAUUUUUGGAAGACAAUGUCGUUUGCUUCGACGAACAACAGUCGCCUCUAGAUGGCAGCCAUUGUUAGAACAUUCGCAAUUGGAGAAACACAUUCGUUAAUGCUUUGAGCCUGUAAUGGACGACACGACGAACCAAGAUAACUACGACUGAUAUAAUCCAAUUUAUCGGUAAGUUGGAAAGCCCUGGACAGGGCAAAAUGAACACAGAGGAGACGUGAGAGUUACAAACAAAUAAAUGGGCCUGUAGAACGGGACGAAAUAUGAAAAGACAGCGGGAGAUUUUCAUAUGAUGGAUGUAAUGGGGCCGUGCUGUUCGUCCAAUCAAUAACAAGACGAUUGAUUCAGACUAUUACACAAUAGGCACGAGUAUUCAAAUGCCCUCGACGCAGCCGAUUAUUAUUAACGAGGAAGAAUAACAGAUUUGAAUCUUUUCUUUUGUCUAGUCGAAGCAAACGAAAGUCAAAGCAUUUAAAAAAAGAGACAGUUGGGCGUGGCACGUUUUCACGCAAUCGUAAAAGUAAUUAAUGUGACAAUCGUCGGUGCAGAAAAUGACCAAUAAAUCACGUUGGAAAAAAAAGGAUAAACAAAUCAACUUGUUGGCAAUUUCGUGCUGUAAUCGACUCUGAAUUUUCUUUUAGCCGUUAUCAACUGCUUUUGGACAUGAUUUAUCCUUCUUCGGGACAAACGUACGUUUAAGAAAAAUAACGCGCAAUUCUAAAAUGGUUAGCGAAAAAAACCUGAAUUGUUAUUAGAAAAGGAGAAAGGAAAGAAUGCAUCAUGUUGAUGAAACUAGUAUUUUUCUCUUCACAUGGUAAUGAUUACGAAACAAAACAAUGGACUUUUCGGAUUAGCGAGAGUCGUUAUAAUAAUUCU